ACGAACGCUGGCGGCAUGCCUAACACAUGCCGGUCGAACGAGACCUUCGGGUCUAGUGGCGCACGGGUGCGUCACGCGUGGGAACCUGCCCUUAGGUUCGGAAUAACUCCCCGAAAGGGGUGCUAAUACCGGAUAAUGUCUUCGGACCAAAGAUUUAUCGCCUUUGGAUGGGCCCGCGUUGGAUUAGCUAGUUGGUAGGGUAAAAGCCUACCAAGGCGACGAUCCAUAGCUGGUCUGAGAGGAUGAUCAGCCACACUGGGACUGAGACACGGCCCAGACUCCUACGGGAGGCAGCAGUGGGGAAUAUUGGACAAUGGGCGAAAGCCUGAUCCAGCAAUGCCGCGUGAGUGAUGAAGGCCUUAGGGUUGUAAAGCUCUUUUACCCGGGAUGAUAAUGACAGUACCGGGAGAAUAAGCUCCGGCUAACUCCGUG
rnacentral:rRNA from 1 species